rnacentral:tRNA from 1 species
GGGCCUAUUCUCUGCUGGAUAGAGCGCCUGACUACGGAUCAGGAGGUCGAGGGUUCGAAUCCUUUUGCGCACG